AAAGAACAAUAGUAAAAGUGGUAUCUUUCUUUAUUUAUGAUGACCUGAUAUAAAGGAACAUCUUUCCACUCAGAAAGUUUCUACAUGUAUUUUCUACAGGGUGUUUCUCCUCUUGUGCCCAUUACUCCGCAUGUCUUUUUAUUGUUGCAGAAAGCAAGAGCUUCUUUUCUCCAUUCAGAUCAUGUCUUUCCUAGCCUCAUGGUCUCAUCUGGGGCUCUGGAGAAUAUGAAUGUCCUAACUGAUGCUUCUGCCUUAGGGAAUAGGUGCCAAUGAAUAUCUGUGAGACUCUAUUCUUACCUUCUUCAGCCGUGACCUGACAGUGUGAGGAGAAUGUAAAGGAGCUGAGUUGGUGACACUGACCCACUUGUGCCACAUCUCACAGACCUCCCCUUGACCACAGAGGCAAAAUUUGGAAUGAGCAACUGAGAGACCCGAAGGGAGAACCUACAGUUUAUACACUUCUCCCAGCUUAGAGAAAAGGAGUAUGGUGCCAUUACAUGGCAUCUUCACCCCUCACCAGCCUUUCUACAUCUAGAAGAAGUCCAGUAGCUUUUGGGAAGAGUUUGGAGGAAGGCGGGAGAAGAAGGGAUUCUUCAGAGACUGAAACAGAGAUCUUUCUUUCAGGUAUCAGGUUUCUGUUCUAAUUUUGCUGGUUUUGCUAUGAAGUAAUCAAUAAUUUGCCAAGACUAACCUGGAGAGCAAAUCAAGGCACCGUAACUACAAAUACCUUUCUUAGACGUAGGCAUGUCUGAAUUCAAACAUAACCUUUAUCAGUAAAUACUUUGUUUUCAGUUAGGGAUAUUUUCAUACUCAGAAGUGAGGAUAGAAGACAAAUCCAGGAAUUUCUACUAAGUAUGUGCACAGCUGUCAUCUUAAAUCCAGAAAGUCACAUAAACUUUCUAUAAAUAAACAAAUAAAUAAAUAAAACAACCAUAAACGUUUCCACAUUUGAGGAGUAUUUUAAUUUUCAGAGUUAAGUCUGAACGACAAGAUCCCAAACUUCACCUCUCAUAUAACAUAAUUUGGAACAAUGAAUUGAGUCACCUCACAGAAGCAGGAAUCCCUAAGGAGUCUGACAAAUGUCUGUUCUUGGCCCUUUCAACCAACUGGUUUCAACUGUCAAGUAGAUAAGCAAUGUUUAUGUAAUAUUACUAUUAAUAUUUUGUACCUUAGGGGAUAAAUCAGAAGUCUUUAAAUACAAAGUGCAUAUCCAUUAGUUUUAUUCUAGUGAUAUUUAAACAUACGUUUGCCAAAGUCUUUAAUGAGUAUUUCCAGUCUGGCAAAAAAUCUCAGUCUUCUUAUAUUUCAAAGAUAAUAGCUAGCAAGGACAGGACAAAGAACCUACUUUUACUCAUCUAAAAAGCAGAAAGUAAUAUAUUAUUUAAGUAAUAGUUAUUUUAAAGGAAGCCAGGGAAAGUGAGGAUUGAAGUGGGAAACAGCAUAUUUUAAAAUAUCUGGAGACAACCAUCAAAGAUGGCACUGUAACUUUGCAACUGAGAAGUUUUUCAGAGUAUUUCAUAAUGUGAACAUCCCACACUGAGUUUAAUGUGUGCUGGAAAACUAAUAUGUCUCACAGAUUCAUAAUAUAAUA